UAUUUUUUUAUUUCUCUUUUCAUUUUUUUUUUUUUUGUGACCCAAUGGUUUUUCAGUAGAAUGUUGUUUAAUCCCCAUAUACUUGUGAUUUUUCUAGUUUGUAUCAUACCAUUGUGCUUGGAAAAUAUGCUCAAUAUGAUUUCAGUCCUCUUAAAUUUGUUAAGACUUAUUUCGUGAUCUAUCUAUCAUAUGAUCUAGCUUGGAAGAUGGUCCUUGUGCACUUAAGAGGAAUAGAUAAUCUGUUGCUUUUCGAUGGAAUAUUCUGAUCUAACAUAUUAUUUAAGGCCAAUGUUUUCUUUUUGAUUUUCUGUCUGGAAGAUCUAUCCGUUGGUGUAAGUGGGGUAUUAAAAUCCUCUACUAUAUUGUAUCACUAUUAGCUUCUCCCUCUAGGUCUGUUAAUAUCUGCUUUAUGUGUUUAGGUGCUGGUGUGGACGCAUACAUAUUUGCAAAUGCUCUAUCAUCUUGUUGGACUACUCCUUUUAUUAUUAUGUAUUACCUUUCUUUGUCUCUUAUUAUAGUCUUUGCUUUUAAAUUUAUUUUAGCGCCUUCCUAGUUUGGUGGACAGUGCAUCAGUCUCAUAAAAUCUGUUUUGAUUGAUUUAAGUAUAGCUAUUCUAGUUUUAUUUUGGUUUCCAUUUGCAUGGAAUAUCUUUUUCCAUCCUUUCACUUUUAGUCUGAGUGUGUCCUUACUCUGAAGUGUGUUUCUUAUAGGCAGCACAGAAAAGGGUAUUGGUUUUUUAUCCAUUCAUCCACUCUAUGUCUUUUAAAUGGAAAAUUAAGUCCAUUUACAUUCAGAGUAAUUAUUGAUAGGAAUGUGCCUAUUUCAAUCUUGUUCAUUGUUUUCUAGCUGUUUUGUAGUUCCUCUUUGUUCCUUUCUUCUUCUCUUACUUUUCCUUUGUGGUUUGGUGACUCUCUUUAGUGAUAUGCUUAUAUUCCUUUCUUUUUUAAAAAUAGAUUUUAUUUUUUAGAUAAGUUUUAGGUUUACAGCAAAAUUGAGUGAAGGUACAGUGAUUACCUAUACAUUCUAUACCCUUACAUCUGCACUGUCUCCCUCAUUCUCAGCUUCCCCCACCAGAGUGGCUUAUUUGUUCCAAUUGAUGAAUCUACAUUGAUACAUCAUUAUCACCCAAGGCCAUAGAUUACAUUAGGAUUCAUUCUUGGUGUGUAUGUCCUUUCUCUUUUGUGUGUGUGUUUACUAUAGGUUUUUGCAUUGUAGUUACCAUAAGGCUUACACAUAACAACUUAUAUCUAUAACAGUGUAUUUUAAGAUGAUAACAAAUUUAGUCCCAUUCUAAAACUCAAAGUUUUUACUAUCCUCCUGCCUCCAUGUUGUAUAUUUUUGGUGUCACAUUUUACAUCUUUUUAUCCUGGGCUGAAUUGGAACUGCAGCUGCCAGCAUACACCACUGCCAUAGCAAUGCUGGAUCUUUAACCCAGUGAGUGAGGCCAGGGAUCAAAUCCACAUCAUCAUGGACACCAUGCAGGUUCUUAACCCACUUAACCACAAAAGAAAUUCCUGUAAUUUUUUUAAAAAUGUUAACUCAAUAAACAAGCCACCAAAACAUACAAUUUUGAAAACCAACAGGGCUCACAUCUGAAGACAUACAUGAUGGUAGCAAUCUGAGAAACACCUUUUAAAGGACUCAUGCACUCAGAUUCAUUACCUCAGGGUCCAACUCAGAGGCAGCUGAUUGUGCCCAGACUUAAAGUGAAGGAGGCUCACCUGUUUAUAUUAAACCCUUGGCCUAAGAGCCAGGCAUCUAAUUUAACAUACACAUCUGCGAGUCUAAUGGAAGAUUUGAAGGAUGGAGAUUUGUAAACACCAUCUUCAUGUUCUACCUCUGCCAGGCUUCACAGCCCCAGUAUCUCCCAGAAAAGUGCCUCUACACAUCUCUGGUACCCUGAUUUUUGCAGCUGCCACCCAGGGCAUGCCUCCUGAUCAGCUGAAUCUGGUGGUCUUACAUUCCUGGUCAUAUGGGACUAUAAUUAUCGGUAUCACCCUGAAAGGAGCUCAUACUUCUGUCUGUUGGCCUGAUUUUUAUUACUUCUACCAAGGACACCUCUACCUUGCUUGGCUCUGGUGGCCAGUGGGGCUUAUGCUCAUCAGUUCCAUAGGACUAUAACCAAUGGAAAAAGAGUACUUAAACAACUACCAUCCCAAGGGCUCUUCAAGAGCCAACAGACCCAGGAGUUAGGUCUUUCUGUGAAGGAGGUCUGUUAGCUAGUUAUUAUAACUUUGGCUAUGGCAGGGAGAUUGGGUCAGGCUUCUAAUUAAACACUCAUUUAGGAGUUCUUGUUGUGGCUUUACAGGUUGAGGACCCAGUGUUGUCUCUGUGAGGAUGCAGGUUCAAUCCCUGACCUUGCUCAGUGGGUCAUGAGCCACAGAUGUGGCUCAGAUCUGGUGUUGCCAUGACUGUGGUGUAGGCCUCAGCUAUAGCUCCAGUUUGACCCCUGCCUGGGAACUUCCAUAUGCCAUAGGUGCAGUCAUAAAAAGAAAAAGAAAAAAAAAAAA
rnacentral:lncRNA from 1 species